CUUUAUAUUCCUAAAAGUGAAGGAGGGAUGGGGUUUCGUGACCUAUACCCUUUCAACCUAGCUAUGCUCGCAAAACAAUGUUGUAGACUUGUUACUGAACCGGACUCUUUGGUGGCAAGAGUUUUAAAGGCUAAGUACCAUCCUAAUGGGAAUAUAUUAAGUGCUACACCAAAUAACGGGUCCUCUUUCACAUGGCAAAGUAUCCUAAAAGGAUUGGAAACCAUCAAAAAAUGGUACAUUUGGAGAAUCCUUACAGGAGAGGAAGUGACAAAUCAAAUUAUCUACCAUGCAAUAAACAUUUAG
rnacentral:rRNA from 1 species